rnacentral:rRNA from 1 species
CGAACGCUGGCGGCGUGCUUAACACAUGCAAGUCGAACGGAAAGGCCCUGCUUUUGUGGGGUGCUCGAGUGGCGAACGGGUGAGUAACACGUGAGUAACCUGCCCUUGACUUUGGGAUAACUUCAGGAAACUGGGGCUAAUACCGGAUAGGAGCUCCUGCUGCAUGGUGGGGGUUGGAAAGUUUCGGCGGUUGGGGAUGGACUCGCGGCUUAUCAGCUUGUUGGUGGGGCAGUGGCUUACCAAGGCUUUGACGGGUAGCCGGCCUGAGAGGGUGACCGGCCACAUUGGGACUGAGAUACGGCCCAGACUCCUACGGGAGGCAGCAGUGGGGAAUAUUGCACAAUGGGCGGAAGCCUGAUGCAGCAACGCCGCGUGCGGGAUGACGGCCUUCGGGUUGUAAACCGCUUUCGCCUGUGACGAAGCGUGAGUGACGGUAAUGGGUAAAGAAGCACCGGCUAACUACGUG